rnacentral:tRNA from 1 species
GCUGCUGUAGCUCAGUGGGAGAGCGUCCGGCUGAAGACCGGAACGUCGCAGGUUCAAAUCCUGCCAGCGGCA